CCUACGGGAGGCAGCAGUGAGGAAUAUUGGUCAAUGGACGAGAGUCUGAACCAGCCAAGUCGCGUGAAGGAUGACUGCCCUAUGGGUUGUAAACUUCUUUUAUAUGGGAAUAAAAUGUUCCACGUGUGGGAUUUUGUAUGUACCAUAUGAAUAAGGAUCGGCUAACUCCGUGCCAGCAGCCGCGGUAAUACGGAGGAUCCGAGCGUUAUCCGGAUUUAUUGGGUUUAAAGGGAGCGUAGGGGGAUUGUUAAGUCAGUUGUGAAAGUUUGCGGCUUAACCGUAAAAUUGCAGUUGAAACUGGCAGUCUUGAGUACAGUAGAGGUAGGCGGAAUUCGUGGUGUAGCGGUGAAAUGCUUAGAUAUAACGAAGAACUCCGAUAGCGAAGGCAGCUCACUGGACUGCAACUGACACUGAGGCUCGAAAGUGUGGGUAGCAAACAGGAUUAGAUACCCGGGUAGUC
rnacentral:rRNA from 1 species